AGCGUACACGGUGGAUGCCCUGGCAGUCAGAGGCGAUGAAGGACGUGCUAAUCUGCGAUAAGCGUCGGUAAGGUGAUAUGAACCGUUAUAACCGGCGAUUUCCGAAUGGGGAAACCCAGUGUGAUCCGUCACACUAUCAUUAACUGAAUCCAUAGGUUAAUGAGGCGAACCGGGGGAACUGAAACAUCUAAGUACCCCGAGGAAAAGAAAUCAACCGAGAUUCCCCCAGUAGCGGCGAGCGAACGGGGAGGAGCCCAGAGCCUGAAUCAGUGUGUGUGUUAGUGGAAGCGUCUGGAAAGGCGUGCGAUACAGGGUGACAGCCCCGUACACAAAAAUGCACAUGCUGUGAGCUCGAUGAGUAGGGCGGGACACGUGGUAUCCUGUCUGAAUAUGGGGGGACCAUCCUCCAAGGCUAAAUACUCCUGACUGACCGAUAGUGAACCAGUACCGUGAGGGAAAGGCGAAAAGAACCCCGGCGAGGGGAGUGAAAAAGAACCUGAAACCGUGUACGUACAAGCAGUGGGAGCCUCUUUAUGGGGUGACUGCGUACCUUUUGUAUAAUGGGUCAGCGACUUAUAUUCUGUAGCAAGGUUAACCGAAUAGGGGAGCCGAAGGGAAACCGAGUCUUAACUGGGCGUUAAGUUGCAGGGUAUAGACCCGAAACCCGGUGAUCUAGCCAUGGGCAGGUUGAAGGUUGGGUAACACUAACUGGAGGACCGAACCGACUAAUGUUGAAAAAUUAGCGGAUGACUUGUGGCUGGGGGUGAAAGGCCAAUCAAACCGGGAGAUAGCUGGUUCUCCCCGAAAGCUAUUUAGGUAGCGCCUCGUGAAUUCAUCUCCGGGGGUAGAGCACUGUUUCGGCAAGGGGGUCAUCCCGACUUACCAACCCGAUGCAAACUGCGAAUACCGGAGAAUGUUAUCACGGGAGACACACGGCGGGUGCUAACGUCCGUCGUGAAGAGGGAAACAACCCAGACCGCCAGCUAAGGUCCCAAAGUCAUGGUUAAGUGGGAAACGAUGUGGGAAGGCCCAGACAGCCAGGAUGUUGGCUUAGAAGCAGCCAUCAUUUAAAGAAAGCGUAAUAGCUCACUGGUCGAGUCGGCCUGCGCGGAAGAUGUAACGGGGCUAAACCAUGCACCGAAGCUGCGGCAGCGACACUAUGUGUUGUUGGGUAGGGGAGCGUUCUGUAAGCCGUUGAAGGUGGCCUGUGAGGGUUGCUGGAGGUAUCAGAAGUGCGAAUGCUGACAUAAGUAACGAUAAAGCGGGUGAAAAGCCCGCUCGCCGGAAGACCAAGGGUUCCUGUCCAACGUUAAUCGGGGCAGGGUGAGUCGACCCCUAAGGCGAGGCCGAAAGGCGUAGUCGAUGGGAAACAGGUUAAUAUUCCUGUACUUGGUGUUACUGCGAAGGGGGGACGGAGAAGGCUAUGUUGGCCGGGCGACGGUUGUCCCGGUUUAAGCGUGUAGGCUGAUUUUCCAGGCAAAUCCGGAGAAUCAAGGCUGAGGCGUGAUGACGAGGCACUACGGUGCUGAAGCAACAAAUGCCCUGCUUCCAGGAAAAGCCUCUAAGCAUCAGGUAACAUCAAAUCGUACCCCAAACCGACACAGGUGGUCAGGUAGAGAAUACCAAGGCGCUUGAGAGAACUCGGGUGAAGGAACUAGGCAAAAUGGUGCCGUAACUUCGGGAGAAGGCACGCUGAUAUGUAGGUGAAGCGACUUGCUCGUGGAGCUGAAAUCAGUCGAAGAUACCAGCUGGCUGCAACUGUUUAUUAAAAACACAGCACUGUGCAAACACGAAAGUGGACGUAUACGGUGUGACGCCUGCCCGGUGCCGGAAGGUUAAUUGAUGGGGUCAGCCGCAAGGCGAAGCUCUUGAUCGAAGCCCCGGUAAACGGCGGCCGUAACUAUAACGGUCCUAAGGUAGCGAAAUUCCUUGUCGGGUAAGUUCCGACCUGCACGAAUGGCGUAAUGAUGGCCAGGCUGUCUCCACCCGAGACUCAGUGAAAUUGAACUCGCUGUGAAGAUGCAGUGUACCCGCGGCAAGACGGAAAGACCCCGUGAACCUUUACUAUAGCUUGACACUGAACAUUGAGCCUUGAUGUGUAGGAUAGGUGGGAGGCUUUGAAGUGUGGACGCCAGUCUGCAUGGAGCCGACCUUGAAAUACCACCCUUUAAUGUUUGAUGUUCUAACGUGGACCCGUGAUCCGGGUUGCGGACAGUGUCUGGUGGGUAGUUUGACUGGGGCGGUCUCCUCCUAAAGAGUAACGGAGGAGCACGAAGGUUGGCUAAUCCUGGUCGGACAUCAGGAGGUUAGUGCAAUGGCAUAAGCCAGCUUGACUGCGAGCGUGACGGCGCGAGCAGGUGCGAAAGCAGGUCAUAGUGAUCCGGUGGUUCUGAAUGGAAGGGCCAUCGCUCAACGGAUAAAAGGUACUCCGGGGAUAACAGGCUGAUACCGCCCAAGAGUUCAUAUCGACGGCGGUGUUUGGCACCUCGAUGUCGGCUCAUCACAUCCUGGGGCUGAAGUAGGUCCCAAGGGUAUGGCUGUUCGCCAUUUAAAGUGGUACGCGAGCUGGGUUUAGAACGUCGUGAGACAGUUCGGUCCCUAUCUGCCGUGGGCGCUGGAGAACUGAGGGGGGCUGCUCCUAGUACGAGAGGACCGGAGUGGACGCAUCACUGGUGUUCGGGUUGUCAUGCCAAUGGCACUGCCCGGUAGCUAAAUGCGGAAGAGAUAAGUGCUGAAAGCAUCUAAGCACGAAACUUGCCCCGAGAUGAGUUCU
rnacentral:rRNA from 1 species